rnacentral:tRNA from 1 species
GCCGAAAUAUCUCAGUUAGGAGAGCGUUAGACUGAAUAGCUAAAGGUCCCAGGUUCGAUCCCGGGUUUCGGCA